rnacentral:rRNA from 1 species
AAUAGAUACCCCGGUAGUCCACGCCGUAAACUAUGGAUGCUAGCUGUUGGCCGUAUCGACCCGGUCAGUAGCGAAGCUAACGCGUUAAGCAUCCCGCCUGUGGAGUACGAGCGCAAGCUUAAAACAUAAAGGAAUUGACGGGGACCCGCACAAGCGGUGGAGCGUGUUGUUUAAUUCGAUGAUAAGCGAAGAACCUUACCCAGGCUUGACAUCCUUGGAAGGCCUCCGAAAGGAGACUGUGCCUUUUAGGAACCAAGUGACAGGUGUUGCAUGGCCGUCGUCAGCUCGUGUCGUGAGAUGUUUGGUUAAGUCCAUCAACGAGCGCAACCCUUAUAGUUAGUUGAAUUUUUCUAGCUAGACUGCCCUGGCAACAGGGAGGAAGGGGGGAUGAUGUCAGGUCAGUAUUACCCUUACGUCUGGGGCUACAAACACGCUACAAUGGCCGGUACAAAGGGCAGCCAACCCGCGAGGGGGAGCUAAUCCCAUCAAAGCCGGUCUCAGUUCGGAUUGUAGGCUGAAACUCGCCUGCAUGAAGCCGGAAUCGCU